ACUUGUAGUUUAAUUGGUAAAACUUACCGCUCAUAACGGUGCUGUUGUAGGUUCAAGUCCUGCCAAGUCCG
rnacentral:tRNA from 1 species